rnacentral:rRNA from 1 species
UACGAGUCUCACGAACGUUAUUCGGAAUUACUGGGCUUAAAGGGUGCGUAGGCGGUGAAGUAAGUCGGGUGUGAAAUACCAUAGCUUAACUAUGGAACUGCACUCGAUACUACUUUGCUAGAGUAAGACAGAGGUGAGUGGAACUGAGGGUGGAGCGGUGAAAUGCGUAGAUAUGUGGAGGAACAUCGAUGGCGAAGGCAGCCCCCUGGGUCAACACUGACGCUCAUGCACGAAAGCGUGGGGAGCAAACAGG